rnacentral:tRNA from 1 species
GGAGAGGUGCGAGAGUGGUUGAAUCGGGCGGUCUCGAAAACCGUUGAGCGGGUAACCCCUGUUCCGAGGGUUCGAAUCCCUCCCUCUCCG